AAACUUUUGGAGUAUAUAAUGGUGAUUAGUCUUCUCUUUUAAUAGAAGAAAGUAAUCAAAAAUGGUUAAAAUGGCUUCCUAUGCGAUCCCAAUCCUUUUCCUCAUUUUAUUUGCAUCUUAUAAUACUGGUAUUGCUCAAACAACUCGAGUCCCCAAAACCAUGGUACUUGCAGAUGAAAAUAAAGAGAACCCAAGGGUUAUUGGAGAAAGUAAAACUGGAACAGGCGAUCAUGAUUCACACCCCGGCGGACCAGGCGGCGGUGGGUGAUAUUUUUUCAUACAUAUAGAAAAUAAGUGCAUACUGUGUACAAGUUCCAAAUUAGUGCACACGGUUUACAAGUUUCAAAUUACGAAUU